UAUUGGACAAUGGGCGGAAGCCUGAUCCAGCAACGCCGCGUGGAGGACGAAGGUCUUCGGAUCGUAAACUCCUGUCAGGCGGGACGAAGGCUGCGGGGUAAAUAAUACCGUAGCUUGACGGUACUGCCAGAGGAAGCCCCGGCUAGCUCCGUGCCAGCAGCCGCGGUGACACGUAGGCACCAAGCGUUGUCCGGAUUUAUUGGGCGUAAAGAGCUCGUAGGCGGUUCGGUAAGUCGGAUGUGAAAACUUUGGGCUCAACCCAAAGCGUGCACUCGAUACUGCUGUGACUAGAGUUCGGUAGGGGAGUGGGGAAUUCCUAGUGUAGCGGUGAAAUGCGCAGAUAUUAGGAGGAACACCGGUGGCGAAGGCGCCACUCUGGGCCGAAACUGACGCUGAGGAGCGAAAGCGUGGGUAGCAAAC
rnacentral:rRNA from 1 species